AGUAAGGGAGUAGGUUUGGUCAUACUUUUUUUUUUCAUUUUUAUUAAAUUGGGUAUUUAUUUAUAUUUCAAAUGUUAUUCCCUUUUCUGGUUUCCUGUCCAUCGGCUCCCUAACCCCUCCCCCUCCCCGUCAUAUUUUUUUUUCUUUUUUUCGGAGCUGGGGACCGAACCCAGGGCCUUGCGAUCGCUAGGCAAGCGCUCUACCACUGAGCUAAAUCCCCACCCCCACCCCCACCCCCGUCAUACUUUUUAAUACCAGUGACAAAACUCACAGAAAUAUAUGGAAGAAUGUAUGUGUGUGUGUGUGUGUGUGUGUGUGUGUGUGUGUGUGUGUGUGUG
rnacentral:lncRNA from 1 species